UAGGUGCCAUCGACACAGUCUACGUGCCAAGUUGAACAUUGGAGCCUCCAAAAAUUGAGACCAGCAGAUCUUUCUCUGGUCUUCACUGACACCUGGCGGACACCUUAGGUCCUCUUUGAGCUGCUGCACCUCCUGCAAGAGAGCCUCCACCUGCGCAAGCACAAAACCAGGUUGAGACCAGCCGCUCCAGCAACAGGCCAAAGUUUUCAUUCCGAAAG